UACGAAGGGGGCUAGCGUUGUUCGGAAUUACUGGGCGUAAAGCGCACGUAGGCGGGUUGUUAAGUCAGGGGUGAAAUCCUGGAGCUCAACUCCAGAACUGCCUUUGAUACUGGCAACCUAGAGACUGGAAGAGGUUAGUGGAAUUCCCGGUGUAGAGGUGAAAUUCGUAGAUAUUGGGAAGAACACCAGUGGCGAAGGCGGCUAACUGGUCCAGCACUGACGCUGAGGUGCGAAAGCGUGGGGAGCAAACAGG
rnacentral:rRNA from 1 species